AGCAGCCGCGGUAAUUCCAGCUCCAAUAGCGUAUAUUAAAGUUGUUGCAGUUAAAAAGCUCGUAGUUGAAUUUCGGGAUCGACGGGUCGGUCGCGCCUCUGGUGUGUACUGGCCCUGUCGGUUUCUCCCUUCUGACGAACCACGAUGUCAUUAAUUUGGUGUCGUGGGAAAUCAGGACUGUUACUUUGAAAAAAUUAGAGUGUUUAAAGCAGGCAUUCGCUUGAAUACAUUAGCAUGGAAUAAUGAAAUAGGACGUUUGAUCUUAUUUUGUUGGUUUCUUAAGAUCGACGUAAUGAUUAAUAGGGAUAGUUGGGGGGCAUUAGUAUUCAAUUGUCAGAGGUGAAAUUCUUGGAUUUAUUGAAGACUAACUACUGCGAAAGCAUUUGCCAAGGAUGUUUUCAUUAAUCAAGAACGAAAGUUAGGGGAUCGAAGACGAUCAGAUACCGUCGUAGUCUUAACCAUAAACUAUAGCCGACU
rnacentral:rRNA from 1 species